AAGAUGGUUAUCUCUUUUCCCUUUCAUCCCAUAUCGUAGAAGCAGGGGUAGAGAUGCUAGCACGAGGCUAGGUUCAGGCAAGAGUGAAGAAACCUCCCCCAACCCACCAAGGGUAAAUUCAGUGAUCAAUCAGGAUUACUGAUGUGGCCACAUUACAUGGACUACAUUUCCCAGGAUACUUUAACUUUUUCCAGUGAUGCAUUCCCUUAAGGGGACAGCUCCCAAUUCCUA